AUGUAUGUAGCUCAGUGGUAGAGCACUUGCCUAGCACACGCAAGACCCUGAGUUCUAUCCUCAGCAAGGAGA
rnacentral:tRNA from 1 species